rnacentral:rRNA from 1 species
UGCCAGCCGCCGCGGUAAUACAGAGGGUGCAAGCGUUGUUCGGAAUCACUGGGCGUAAAGGGCAUGUAGGCGGUAGGGUAUGUUCGAUGUGAAAGCCCUCGGCUCAACCGAGGAACUGCAUCGAAAACUACUUUACUAGAGUACGAGAGAGGAUAGCGGAAUUCCCAGUGUAGAGGUGAAAUUCGUAGAUAUUGGGAGGAACACCAGAUGCGAAGGCGGCUAUCUGGCUCGUAACUGACGCUGAGAUGCGAAAGCGUGGGGAGCAAACAGGAUUAGAUA